UACGUAGGGUGCAAGCGUUAAUCGGAAUUACUGGGCGUAAAGCGUGCGCAGGCGGUUUUGUAAGGCUGUCGUGAAAGCCCCGGGCUCAACCUGGGAAUUGCGAUGGAGACUGCAAGGCUUGAAUCUGGCAGAGGGGGGUAGAAUUCCACGUGUAGCAGUGAAAUGCGUAGAGAUGUGGAGGAACACCGAUGGCGAAGGCAGCCCCCUGGGCCAACACUGACGCUCAGGCACGAAAGCGUGGGGAGCAAACAGG
rnacentral:rRNA from 1 species